UACGGAGGGAGCUAGCGUUGUUCGGAAUUACUGGGCGUAAAGCGCACGUAGGCGGCUUUGUAAGUUAGAGGUGAAAGCCCGGGGCUCAACUCCGGAACUGCCUUUAAGACUGCAUCGCUUGAAUCCGGGAGAGGUGAGUGGAAUUCCGAGUGUAGAGGUGAAAUUCGUAGAUAUUCGGAAGAACACCAGUGGCGAAGGCGGCUCACUGGACCGGUAUUGACGCUGAGGUGCGAAAGCGUGGGGAGCAAACAGG
rnacentral:rRNA from 1 species